ensembl:processed_transcript
GGCUAGCGCAACGUGAGAGUUUGUAAGGCUAAGUUAAUGUUACAUUAUGCGGGCAGUCAGAUUCGAAAAACAAACAAAUAUAACGUUAAUGUUUUUAUAGCUGGCUGCUGGAUUUUGUUGGAUCGAUCAUUUAAAUGUAAUUUGCAUGUUUCGAUUUAUUGAUGUGAUUUGAUUUGUGUACAACGUGAUAUCAGUGCAUUUAGAUGUAAAAGUUCCGAUGUUUUAAGCUAGUUUGUUUUGCUAGUACGUUAAAGGAGAUUGUAACUCAAAUGUAAUAUCUUGUUUCAGGAACUUUGGUGAAAAAAUCAAGACGUGGUGAAUUAGGUUGUUGGAGGUGACUCGAAUCUGAUCGAUAAAGAUUUAUAAAGGCAUGUCCACGUUGGAUGAGGACGUACGAGAUGCUGUAUUGGCAGUCCUACCUGGGCUAUCAGAGGAGAAACUAGUGUCUCUUUUGAACAAAUUGGCAAGCAUAGGAGUUGAAUCCAAAUCUGACUUGCAGUUUGUUAAAGAGGACGAUCUUCCUGAUCACAUCACACCAAUACAGUGUCGUCGGCUCCUCAAUGCAUGGAAUAUAGAAGACAAAACAGUUUGUGCCAAAGUAUCACCUUUAGAAUCCACAAACAUAGUCUUUGAUGUAUCACCAGUAAACUCACCAUCUUCAAAUUUCAGUUCCUCACGUACACCAAGUGUCUCUAGCACAAACAGCUCCAGUUCAACUGUCGAUUUAACUGUAUGGCCUGAAAACUUUGAAGUUCCAUGGAAUCGGAUGUCUUCUGGUAUUAAAACUGCCACUGCACUGGGUAGACGCCCCACAGCUAAAGAACGCAGAGAAAUGGUGAGAAUCAUUGUUGAUGAGAUGAGACAGACAGAGUUAAAUCCAUCAAAAUCACAAUGUCUGAUUGUUGCAAAGAAGAUUGUUAAACAGUACCCACAAAGCUUUGCUGAUGUUUUGAAAGAUGGCACAAGAAUUGGGACUGGCUAUGGAUCCCUUUUGAUACAGCUAAAAACAAGAGUGGAGCAUGUUAAUCGUGGCUGCUCAUUUUCGAGACGCAGGAAACAAAAAAAGACCUCAAAUUCACCACCCGAGGACACUGGACCAGGGCCUACUGACCAGUAUGGAUGUGUAAGGUGGCAGCCUGAGUGUCCUGUUGAUGAUACUGAAGAAAGUCUCCAAGAAAAGCAGGAAGAAAUGAAGGACCUCUAUAGUUGUGAGGGGCCAGCUGGAGCUCAAAAAGGACAUCUAAGUCAAUUAAUGAAAGCUACAUACUACCUCCAACGUAAAUCGAUUAAUGCCUGUCCACCACCAUCCAUUGCUGAGUUGAAAAAUGAGUGGCCAUAUCUUUUUACACCCAAAGAACUGUAUAGCCACUUUAAGUCACUUACCAACAUCAGCAUUUUGGAAAGACUUGAGAAGUCCAUGGAAGAAAAAGGAAAGAUGAUUCUUCAGUUUUUCCAUCAAAAGCCAGCAGGGACCAAAACAGAUGAGAUUCAGCGAAUACUUCUGAAGUUUGAUGAUAGUGGAGCUUCAAGUUUCAUUCCAUGUGUGGUCCUUGUGCUUCUGUCACACUUUAAAGAAAAAAACGAUGCACUGAUUCUUCAGACGGAUGUGUCAGCAACAGCAGGUGAUGUGGAGAAAAGCUUGGUGCUUCCAGACUCUCCAAGACUAAUUGUCUUAGGGGACAUUCUCACUGCAACUCAGUGGAUGCUGAGCAUCGAGGGACAAGUAGUUGUUGGUCCACACCCCAAUUUCAUAGCUGGAUUUGCAGCUUUGUUUUCAAGCUACUACAACUUCAAUCUGGUGUACCAGGAGCAGGCGUCUUGCACACUCGAAUUUGUUCAAAGGUAAGAAAAUGACUUAAAUAGAAGUUCUGUCAUCAUUUACUCUUCCUCACUUGUCAUAAACAUCUUUUAGUUCUCUUUGCUUUUGUUGAACACAAAAUAAUAUAUUUUGAUGAAAGAAAAACACUUCUAAUCAUUCACUUCCAGAGUUUUUAGGUUGAACUACACCUUUAAUACAACUCAAAUGCAUUUUUUAUUCAUUUAUUUACCCUCAGGCUAUCCAAUAUUUAGGUGACUUAAUGACUUAUUAUAGUCUCAUGCAAAAGUUAAAUUAUCAGUCUUUGCAAGAAACUAAUUAUGAUGAUAACUAUUCUACUUUUAAACCAUGUACAGGAUAAGCCAGACAACUCUGGAGCUUGAGUUUUCUUUCACAGAAAGACAUGUUAAUUGUAAAUCUUGUGUGAACCAAAAUGAUUCUUAUUUACACACAUUGUACCUCUGUUGUAAAUAAUAAAUUCAGUUCAUUUAUGUUUCUGGUUGCGUGUUCCAUCAUAUGACAGAAAGCUUGAGCUCUGGAUUAGUUUGUUAUGGCAGUGCUGUACAAACAUUUUUUUGUACAAACUGAUUGUUUCCCUUCAUAUGACCACAAUAUAUCUGUUAUAUCUAUCUUUUUAUGGUAGUCAUUUACUUUCAUUAUAAAACUCACAACAGACCACAGUAUCAGUUAAAACCUUAAUUUUCAACUGAAGGAAACUACACUGCAAAAAAUGCUUUUCUUACUUAGAUUUUUGGUCUUGUUUCUAGUCUAAAUAUCUAAAAUUUCUUAAAUCAAGAAGCAAUUUCUAGACAAGCAAAACAUAUUGUCUUGUUUUGAGAAAUAAAAUGCCAAUAUUAAGUUAGUUUUUCCUUAUCUGCCAAUGGGGUAAGCAAAAUAAUCUUGUUUUUUCUUUUGACGUGUAAGAUUAUUUUGCUUACCCCAUUGGCAGAUUAUUUUGCUUGUUUUAAGGAAAAAUGUAAAAUUUAGGAAUUUUAAGAUAUUUGGACUAGAAACAAGACAAAAAAAAUCUAAGUAAGAAAAGCAUUUUUGCAGUGUAGUUUUAUUUUAUUGUAAAGCUCCUGUCUUUAUUUUAUGACUGGUCUUUUUGCAGAUGCUUUGUUGGAAUCAAUCCACCCACUGGGACCAAGGCAGCCACAGCAAAGAUUGGAGGAAAAAAAGGUGGAAAGGUGUCAGAGAAGAGGAACCACACAGUCAAUCCUCAUGUUUGUACUCUUCUCAGAAAGCUAAUGGACUUUGAAUGGUUAAGCAUGUAAGUGAGUUCAAAGUUCAAAUACAGGACUUCUGCAAAAUGAACAAACUUGUUAUAGACACACAUUUAUAAUAUUUUGAUUGUUCAAGAACAUCUUAAAGCUAUUUGUACUUUAUUUUUUGAAAUUUUGAGAAUGUUUUUCAGCAAUGUUCAGCAACAGAAAUGUUAUUUUACAAGUUGAACUCUUAGAGUGCUCUGCUGUCAGUUUUAAAAAAAUAGUUUAUUACAAUUGUUUGUAUAGACACGUGAUGUUGUAACAUUUGGGAUAUCUUUGGGAUAUCAAAAUAUCUUAUUUACUGCCACUUUUGACACUUUGUGAAUAUAGAUAAUUUUGUUAAAAUAAAUUGUUUAAAUGUGUUUUGGCAUAGCUGAUUCACUUUAUUGAGUUUUAAUCAACCCAGAAUAUUGCUUCAAAUUUAAAGUCUUUAAUAAAAAAUAAAUGCUGUUAUUACAAUAAUUUUGCAUUUGUUUUUUUUUAUUAUUAUUAUUAAAAAUGUAUAGUGUAUGUUUGGUGUAUAGUGUAAUGCAUUUAAAACAACAAGUAAUAGAUUUGCUUACUGUAAAAAAAAUCAUGAUUUACAGCAUUUUCAAGGUAAAACUAUUACAACAACAUCUUGGGUUUUGGGGUAUUUACAAGAUUUUAUUGGCAACUUUAGUUGCCAGGUAAAUACUGUAAUGUAGUGGAAUUACAAGAAAGUACUGUAAUGUAAAAUACAAGUUAAUUUUGUAUUGCUGUAAAAAACACAAGAAAAUAAUGUAUUUCAAAUACAAUUAUUAGCUGUAAAUUGAUUUACAGUAUUUUACUGUAAUCUAUUUUACAGCAAUUUACAACAUUUUUACAAGACAUUAUUGGCAACUUUUUUGCCAGGUAAUUCCUGUAAAUUCUACAGUAAAUUUUUUACAGUGUAGCCUAGGCAAGGCAAGUUUAUUUAUAUAGCACAUGUACAAUGGUAAUUCACAGUGCUUUA